GGCGGAGGCGAUCGGGGUGGC
rnacentral:miRNA from 1 species